GACGAACGCUGGCGGCGUGCCUAAUACAUGCAAGUAGAACGCUGAAGAGAGGAGCUUGCUCUUCUUGGACGAGUUGCGAACGGGUGAGUAACGCGUAGGUAACCUGCCUUGUAGCGGGGGAUAACUAUUGGAAACGAUAGCUAAUACCGCAUAACAAUAGGUGACACAUGUCAUUUAUUUGAAAGGGGCAAUUGCUCCACUACAAGAUGGACCUGCGUUGUAUUAGCUAGUAGGUGAGGUAACGGCUCACCUAGGCGACGAUACAUAGCCGACCUGAGAGGGUGAUCGGCCACACUGGGACUGAGACACGGCCCAGACUCCUACGGGAGGCAGCAGUAGGGAAUCUUCGGCAAUGGGGGCAACCCUGACCGAGCAACGCCGCGUGAGUGAAGAAGGUUUUCGGAUCGUAAAGCUCUGUUGUAAGUCAAGAACGAGUGUGAGAGUGGAAAGUUCACACUGUGACGGUAGCUUACCAGAAAGGGACGGCUAACUACGUGCCAGCAGCCGCGGUAAUACGUAGGUCCCGAGCGUUGUCCGGAUUUAUUGGGCGUAAAGCGAGCGCAGGCGGUUUGAUAAGUCUGAAGUUAAAGGCUGUGGCUCAACCAUAGUUCGCUUUGGAAACUGUCAAACUUGAGUGCAGAAGGGGAGAGUGGAAUUCCAUGUGUAGCGGUGAAAUGCGUAGAUAUAUGGAGGAACACCGGUGGCGAAAGCGGCUCUCUGGUCUGUAACUGACGCUGAGGCUCGAAAGCGUGGGGGAGCGAACAAG
rnacentral:rRNA from 1 species